UAUAAUUUCCUGGCAAACAUUACAAUCAGUAUAAAAACAAUUUGCCGCAUAUAAUCAUUGUCCAGUGUUUGAAGAAUCCCAGCAGUAUUAAUAUACAAAAGUUUCAAAAUGUUGAAAUUGCGGUAUGAUCAUCUUUUCGGUAGCAAGAUUUGUUACUAUCCACAUAGUAGGUACUACCAUGACGACACCAUGGGUUUCUAUUGGCCUUUGAGGUCGUAUUAUUGGAUGCAACCAUACUGGCCAGAACAUAUGAGGAACUUGUGGCCAACGGAACAUCACCUCAGGCAAAUCAGGGUACGGAACAGUUUAUACGCAGUUUAACUCCAAAGAAAUCAGACGAGCAUCAACUACAGACUUGAACAUUUCCUCUCCUCCCAUUUGGAAUUUCCACGCCAUUCUUCGCCGAAUGAAAAUAUCUCAAUGAGUUUUAGAAACCGGUUUGGACUUCUGAAGAUAAUGUAGAAAUUCGUUUAUGGAAAAAUAAAUCUCAUGACAUUUCAA